rnacentral:rRNA from 1 species
AGCAGCCGCGGUAAUUCCAGCCCCAAUAGCGUAUAUUAAAGUUGUUGCAGUUAAAAAGCUCGUAGUUGAAUUUCGGGAUCAAGGAAUCGGUCAUGCCUUGGUAUGUACUGGUUUUAUUGGUUCCCACCUUCUAAAGAACCAUAAUGUCAUUCAUUUGAUGUUAUGGGGAAUUAGGACUGUUACCUUGAAAAAAUUAGAGUGUUUAAAGCAGGCUUACGCUUGAAUACAUUAGCAUGGAAUAAUGAAAUAGGACAUCAGAUUCUAUUUUGUUGGUUUCUAGGAUCGAUGUAAUGAUUAAUAGGGAUAGUUGGGGGCAUUAGUAUUCAAUUGUCAGAGGUGAAAUUCUUGGAUUUAUUGAAGACUAACUACUGCGAAAGCAUUUGUCAAGGAUGUUUUCAUUAAUCAAGAACGAAAGUUAGGGGAUCGAAGACGAUCAGAUACCGUCGUAGUCUUAACCAUAAACUAUGCCGACUAGGGAUCGGAUGAUGUUAAUUUUUAAUGUACUCAUUCGGCGCCUUAA